rnacentral:rRNA from 1 species
CCAAUAGCGUAUAUUAAAGUUGUUGCAGUUAAAAAGCUCGUAGUUGAAUUUCGGGAUCAAUAUGUUGGUCGUGCCUUGGUACGUACUGGCGUCAUUGGUUUCUACCUUCUGAAGAACCUCGAUGUCAUUAAUUUGGUGUCUUGGGGAAUCAGGACUGUUACUUUGAAAAAAUUAGAGUGUUUAAAGCAAGCUCACGCUUGAAUACAUUAGCAUGGAAUAAUGAAAUAGGACGUUUGAUUCUAUUUUGUUGGUUUCUAGGAUCGACGUAAUGAUUAAUAGGGAUAGUUGGGGGCAUUAGUAUUCAAUUGUCAGAGGUGAAAUUCUUGGAUUUAUUGAAGACUAACUACUGCGAAAGCAUUUGCCAAGGAUGUUUUCAUUAAUCAAGAACGAAAGUUAGGGGAUCGAAGACGAUCAGAUACCGUCGUAGUCUUAACCAUAAACUAUGCCGACUAGGGACCGGAUGAUGUUAAUUUUUUAAUGACUCAUUCGGCGCCUUACG